ACGCUGGCGGCAGGCCUAACACAUGCAAGUCGAGCGGUAGAGAGAAGCUUGCUUCUCUUGAGAGCGGCGGACGGGUGAGUAAUCCCUAGGAAUCUGCCUGGUAGUGGGGGAUAACGUCCGGAAACGGACGCUAAUACCGCAUACGUCCUACGGGAGAAAGCAGGGGACCUUCGGGCCUUGCGCUAUCAGAUGAGCCUAGGUCGGAUUAGCUAGUUGGUGGGGUAAUGGCUCACCAAGGCGACGAUCCGUAACUGGUCUGAGAGGAUGAUCAGUCACACUGGAACUGAGACACGGUCCAGACUCCUACGGGAGGCAGCAGUGGGGAAUAUUGGACAAUGGGCGAAAGCCUGAUCCAGCCAUGCCGCGUGUGUGAAGAAGGUCUUCGGAUUGUAAAGCACUUUAAGUUGGGAGGAAGGGCAGUAAAUUAAUACUUUGCUGUUUUGACGUUACCGACAGAAUAAGCACCGGCUAACUCUGUGCCAGCAGCCGCGGUAAUACAGAGGGUGCAAGCGUUAAUCGGAAUUACUGGGCGUAAAGCGCGCGUAGGUGGUUCGUUAAGUUGGAUGUGAAAUCCCCGGGCUCAACCUGGGAACUGCAUUCAAGCUGACGAGCUAGAGUAUGGUAGAGGGGUGGUGGAAUUUCCUGUGUAGCGG
rnacentral:rRNA from 1 species